rnacentral:rRNA from 1 species
UACGAAGGACCAGAGCGUUAUCCGGAUUUAUUGGGUUUAAAGGGUGCGUAGGCGGACACGCAAGUCAGUGGUGAAAUCCCUCAGCUUAACUGAGGAACUGCCAUUGAAACUAUGUGUCUUGAGUACAUUUGAGGCGGGCGGAAUGUGUCAUGUAGAGGUGAAAUUCUUAGAUAUGACACAGAACACCAAUUGCGAAGGCAGCUCGCUAAACUGUAACUGACGCUGAGGCACGAAAGCGUGGGGAUCAAACAGG